CGAGCAAACUGAGUGUGGCUCCGCCUGCAGUCGGAGUCUCUGAGGUGACAACUCCCCGUGUUUCCGUGAGGCUCGGGGAGCAACCUGGCGACAUUUUGAUCUCUCUCUUUCACAAAAGACAUCGAGCAAGCUCCGGGAGGCGGGAGAGGAGGCCUGUCCAUGCACCCAGUGAGGUCACCCGCUCUCCGUGGACCCCGCCUUUGGGCAGGCCCCGAGGGGCGUGAGGAGAGCGGGGAGUUUGGGCCCCACCACCCACCUGUCUGGUGACUUUGGGGGAACCACUGACGCUGUCCAGCCAGCCUCCUCCAACACGAAGGUGGCGGGAACCUCCCCACCGCUGGCGAGAUUUACGUGGAAUCAGGCGCGGGAAACGCCACGCGCGUCGUUAAACGGUGGGGGGCCCCGAACGAGGAGCCAGAGCCUCUGAGGUGGGAGAGAGAAAUGGAGAGGGAGCAAGAGACAGAAACAUCAACGAUGAGAAAAAAUGAUCAGCUGCCUCCUGCACGUACCACUCUGUGGAUAGAGCCUGCAACCUGGGAAUCUGACUGGGAUUCGAACUGUGACCUCCUGGUUCAUAGGGCCCCAAAGACAUCCUUUGAGACUAUUGAGUGAUUAACAAGCAUCUACCAAGUAACAAGCCUUCCAGUGAAGGUGGAUGACACUUUGUUGCAUAACUUUGCGAAUAUACCAAAAACAACUGAACGAUCCUCCCUUUCCCCAAUUGAUGGACGGAGUAUGACGUAAAAUGCACCUGCAGACUGGACAUUCCUGAGCACCUAA